rnacentral:rRNA from 1 species
GUUGGCGGAUGCUACCUGCAGUCGACGAGACUUCGCUUCGGUGUCGGCGGCGCGUCCACUGUUAAUCUGCCCUUGCUACCUUUAUCUGUUGGAAACGACUUCUAAUACCGGAUGAUGUAGUGUUCCUUAUGUUUUCGCUCAAUUAUUAUUCCGCACUCCGGUGGCUAGAGAUGGCACGUAGGGAACCGAGAGGUGGAGCCGUAGCUGCUCUCAGAUCUGAUCACUUUCACUGGGACUGAAACACGACCCCCACUCCUGCGGGAGACACAAGUGAGAAAUAUAUAACAAUGGGCGAAAGGCUGAUCUAGCAAUGCCGCGUGAGAGCCUAAGCCCUUAGUGCCGUGAGGGUCUUUUACCCCCUAAGAUAUUGACUGUUCUGUGAGAAAAAGCCCCGGCUAACUCCGUGCCAGCAGCCGCGGUAAUACGUAAGGGGGCUAGCGUUGUUCGUAAUUACUGGGCGUAAAGCGCACGUAGACGGCCUUGUAAGUAAGAGGUGAAAGCCUGGAGCUCAACUCCGGAACUGCCUUUUAGACUGCAUCGCUUGAAUCCCAGCCGAGGUGAGUGGAAUUCCGAGUUGUAGCGAUGAAAUGCCUAAG